UACGUAGGCAGCAAGCGUUGUUCGGAGUUACUGGGCGUAAAGGGUGUGUAGGCGGCUUUUUAAGUUUGGUGUGAAAUCUCCCGGCUCAACCGGGAGGGUGCGCCGAAUACUGAGAGGCUAGAGUGCGGGAGAGGAAAGUGGAAUUCCUGGUGUAGCGGUGAAAUGCGUAGAUAUCAGGAGGAACACCGGUGGUGUAGACGGCUUUCUGGACCGUAACUGACGCUGAAACACGAAAAGCGUGGGGUAGCAAACAGG
rnacentral:rRNA from 1 species